AACGCACAUUGCGCCUCUCGUCAAUGGGAGGCAUGCCUGUCUGAGCGUCGGUUGAACCGAAUAAACUAGAUUUGUCUUGGGCUUCGCCCUCGAGCGUUGCCUCGAAGCCAGCGGUCCGAAGCGGAACUGAUUCCCAGAGAACUGACCGCUCGAGUCGAACCUAAAGCUAGAGACCUCAGAUCAGGUAGGACCACCGCCUGAACUUAA
rnacentral:misc_RNA from 1 species